rnacentral:rRNA from 1 species
UACAGAGGUCUCAAGCGUUGUUCGGAUUCAUUGGGCGUAAAGGGUGCGUAGGCGGCGCGGUAAGUCGGGUGUGAAAUCUCGGAGCUUAACUCCGAAACUGCAUUCGAUACUGCCGUGCUUGAGGACUGGAGAGGAGACUGGAAUUUACGGUGUAGCGGUGAAAUGCGUAGAUAUCUGGAGGAACACCGGUGGCGAAGGCGGCAUCCUGGACCAACACUGACGCUGAGUGAGCGAAAAGCCCAGGGGGAGCAAACGGG